AUGAACGCUGGCGGCGUGCUUAACACAUGCAAGUCGAACGAUGAAGCCCAGCUUGCUGGGUGGAUUAGUGGCGAACGGGUGAGUAACACGUGAGUAACCUGCCCUUAACUCUGGGAUAAGCCUGGGAAACUGGGUCUAAUACCGGAUAGGAGCGUCCACCGCAUGGUGGGGGUUGGAAAGAUUUAUCGGUUUUGGAUGGACUCGCGGCCUAUCAGCUUGUUGGUGAGGUAAUGGCUCACCAAGGCGACGACGGGUAGCCGGCCUGAGAGGGUGACCGGCCACACUGGGACUGAGACACGGCCCAGACUCCUACGGGAGGCAGCAGUGGGGAAUAUUGCACAAUGGGCGCAAGCCUGAUGCAGCGACGCCGCGUGAGGGAUGACGGCCUUCGGGUUGUAAACCUCUUUCAGUAGGGAAGAAGCGAAAGUGACGGUACCUGCAGAAGAAGCACCGGCUAACUACGUG
rnacentral:rRNA from 1 species